CUAGUUCUAAGAGCUGCUUCCUGACCUGCAUAUAGGUUUCUCAAGAGGCAGGUCAGGUGGUCUGGUACUCCCAUCUCUUUCAGAAUUUUCCACAGUUCAUUGUGAUCCACACAGUCAAAGGCUUUGGCAUAGUGAAUAAAGCAGAAAUAGAUGUUUUUCUGGAACUCUCUUGCUUUUUUGAUGAUCCAGCAGCAGUUGGCAAUUUGAUCUCUGGUUCCUCUGCCUUUUCUAAAACCAGCUUGAACAUCUGGAAGUUCACAGUUCACAUAUUGCUGAAGCCUGGCUUGGAGAAUUUUUUGAGCAUUACUUUGAUAGCGUGUGAGAUGAGUGCAAUUAAUUGCAAGUUAAAAGGCAGCCCUGGGUGGUUCUCAUUCGAGUGGUGACACAAGGAUGGAGAACCCUUCUUUCUUAUGGUUCUGUCUGUGCCCUGAAUCAGGGGUCCCCGGCCUCCGCGACCUAAUGCCUGAUGAUCCGAGGUGAAAGUGAUGGGAUAAUAAUAGAAAUAAAAUGCAUAGGAAAUGUGCUUGAAUCAUCUGGGCCGCCCCCCUGACCCCAUCCAUGGAAAAAUUGUCUUCCAUGAAACUGGUCUCUGGUGCCAAACAGGUUGGAGGCUGCUGCCUGGAACAUCCUUGGAAUUCUAAUUAUAAUUUCAGUGGCCAGCAUCCCCUCUCCCUACUCACUGAUCAGCUGGAUUGGGGGGAUGGAAUUCCCUUCUAUCACUGUUCUCUUAGCCGGAAUUUGGUCACGUAGCCCCACCUAGAUUGCUAGAGGACUGGAAAACCUCUUCCUGUGUGCCUAGAAAAGGUAUGAGGGCCUCAUUAUAUUUCUCUUGCCACAGAUUUCAUUACUAAUUGUCAAAUAUCUACUAGCAGCUUGAAAUAGUAUCAUUUUCAGUGCAUUUACUCUAGCUUUAUCAAUGUUGUUAUUAUUUUCCUUAUACUUGUUUUCACAGAUUGCCUUGUAUGGUCAUGUCCUGCCUGUGGGUAAAUUUAUUUUGGCAGAACUGGAAGAACAGUAGGAAGGAUGGUGAAAACAAGGGAUCUGCCUCCAAACAGGCACCAUGAAAUUGCUGAAGCUGUUUUAUGUCUUGGAAAUUAUAAGAACUUCGGAGAUAUUUCAUUAUGACAUCUGUUGAUUUCUCAUUAAAUUCUCCUUUGGUUUAACUGUAGGUCUAAACAGAUCCAAGUUUAGGCAUUAAACAGCUUCAUAUUUGAGAUUCUAAUUAAUCUAAAGCUUCUUUUAGUAUGGUACAUAUGGGUACGUCUUGGGCUUCCCAGGUGGCACCAGUGGUGAAGAACCCGCUCGCCAAGGCAGGAGAGUAAGAGACGUGGAUUAGAUCCCUGGGUCAGGGAGGUCUCCUAGAGGAGGGCAUGACGAUCCACGCCUUAGGGCUGGACAUGACUAAAGUGACUUAGCCUGCUCGCAUAUGGUACGUCUUACUUGCUAGUUGUAUGAUAAGCUUUUAGCAGUUAUUUCUCAAGAGACUCAUGCUCCAGAGGUCAGGUGAUCUGGUAAUCCCAUCUCUUGAAAACAUUUCCAUAAUUUAUUGUGGUCCACACAGUCAAACGCUUUGGCAUAGUCAAUAAAGCAGAAAUAGAUAUUUUUCUGAAACUCUUUGGCUUUUUCAGUGAUCCAGCAGAUGUUGGCAAUUUGAUCUCUGGUUCCUCUGCGUUUUCUAAAUCCAGCUUGAACAUCUGGAAGGUCAUUGUUCACAUACUGUUGAAGCCUGGCAUGGAGAAUUUUGAGCAUUACUUUGCAAGUGUAUGAGAUGAAUGCAAUGGUGUGGUAGUUUGAGCAUUCUUUGGCAUUGCCUUUCUUUGGGAUUGGAAUGAAAACUGACCUUUUCCAGUCCUGUGGCCACAGCUGAGUUUUCCAAAUUUGCUGGCAUAUUGAGCGCAGCACUUUCACAG
ensembl:lncRNA